GUUAAAAAAUCAAGUAACAAAAGAAGGUAUGAACAAGAAUAAACAAACAAACUUCAUAAUCAAGAAAUCAAAAGCAUAUCUUCUCAUGUAACACCAUCAAGAAAUCAAAAUCAUAUCCUCUUAAUACCAAAAAGUAAAUUAACAAUUUAACAAUUCAAGAAACAUUUGUUCUUAGAAUCAAGAAUGUAAGAUUGAAACAAAAAGGAUUUACUAGAUAUCACCAAAUCAAAACUUCAGGCUCUAUGCUGUGAAGGAUAUUAUUAUUUUGACAAACCAUACUGCUGUCUAAACCAACAAAAACAAAUAAUCAACCAGACAAAUCAUGAAACCGAAAGAAUCAAUCAAAAAUGAAUUAACAGUGCAAAACAUGAAGACCAAACAAGAGGAAGAUACAUACAACCAGAAGAAAUCGUAUGUUACAAAAUUACUUUUCCUGCAAGACCAACGAGGGUAAAAAACAGGUCAAGAAAUACAUGAUGAAAUACAUGAUCUCAGAGACGAUAAAGAAUUUUUAAAAAUGAAAAGAAUUUAAUACAUAUAACCAGAAGAAAUCGUAUGUUACAAAAUUACUUUUCCUGCAAGACCUAAGAGGGUAAAAACAGGUCAAGAAAUACAUGAUCUCAAGAGACAAUAAAGAAUUUUAAAAAAUGAAAAGAAUUUAAUACAGAUCACCAAAUCAAAACGCUAGGCUCCAUGCAUCAUUGAAGAAAUUUGAUUUAUCAAUGUGAAGCCAUUCUCUGUACAUAUCCAUUGAGUCAAGAAUCGCAAAAUGUUUAGUUUCUCAAAAUUCCACUUCCAGCAUAAUGGUUAAAUGCAUAUCUCAAGUAUCUAACAUGAUGAUCUCGAUUAUGAAGAACUACAACCAAUAGUUUGAAAAUAAACAUAUCACAACGAUCCAUAUAGGAGUAGAGAGAAUCGUGAAAUCCUUGAUAUUCUAAAAUCUAAUAAAGCAUAUCAAAAUGCCACAACAUAAAGAUCUCCUUGAUAGAAGCAAAUCAAAGACCCAAUCAAAAAGAUAAAGUCCAGACUCACAUUCCUGAUACAAAAACAUGAAACUGUACCACUAGCAGGGCACACAAUCAGAGCAUAACUAUCCCAUCCCAACACAAAUUAACAUGCAAGGGAAAAAACAACCAUUUUUACUUAUCCCUGGGCUGAACGAAGAGUAAGAUGUAUGGCCAGGUUUAUUCCAAGUCUAAUCAGAAGUAUAAAAACCUACAUGAAGAGUAAGAGGAAAGCCCAUCAUAGAAAGAGUAAAUAACAAAAAAAGUAAUGACUAGAAGUAGAAGACUGCUGGCCUGAGAAGGCGGCCUCUGAUAGAACCAGAGUAUGUUUACAGUUCACUUCUCCUGCAACACGAAAGAGUAAAUAAAAAAUAAAGAAAUGUAUGAUGACGAUAAAAGAAAUUUUCAAAAUGAAAAGAAUCUAAUGGAAAUCACCAAAUCAAAAUGAAAACAACAUGUUAAAAAUUCAAUCCGUAUGUCUUGCAAUUGAAGCCCAGAAAUUAAAUUAAUAAAGAAUGGAUCAUUGAAGAAAUUGAUUUUUAUCUAUCUGGAGCUGUCGUUCUUGUCCGGUGUAUAAAAACAUUCUAGAUAUCAAGACUUCACAGCUAUGGAUAAAUGCAUCGCCAGAUUAUCAAAUUAAGAAUUAUAUCCCAAAAAUUAUAGAAACAAGUUAUGAUAAUCAAUCAGUAAAAGGAAGAGUCAGCAGAUGUGUUAAAAUUCAUGAUAUCUACAACCCAGUGCUACGCUCCAUGCAUCAAGCAGGUUUUUAGUGUAACAAACCACGCUGCAGCAAAACAUGUUGAAAAUUCAAUUUGCAUCUCUUGCAGUAAAAACCCAGAAAUAAAUGUAACAAAGAACGAAUCAUUGAAUAAACUGAUUUAUCUAUCUGAAGACAUUCUCCAUUUUUCAUAUGUUGUAUCAAGCCUUUCUAGUUAUCAAGAUUCAAGACUUCUCAGCUCGCUGCAAAACGGCCAAAUGUAUGUCUCGAUUAUAUAACGAAGUUUAUAUCCAAUAAUCCAAAAAUUACAGAAAUAAUUCUUGAUAACGGAUCGUAAAAGAAGAGUGAAAAGAAACAAAUUAAAUAUCGCUUAUAGGAAAACCUGAAAUUAAACAAUCAGGGAGCAAACAAUCUGGCUAAUGGAUCAAGAAAGGAAAGAAAUUAGAAGAAGAUCAAGCAACCUCAUAAGUAUAAUUCGAAAAAUUACACAAAUAAUUCUUUAUAACCAAUGGUAACAACAUAUUCUGGAAAAGUAUGAUAGUGUGAAAUAUAUGCUUCUCAUAUGGAAAUAUUGUAAGAAAAGAAUUUACUAACAAUCACCAUAUCAAUACUCGAGGAUGCAGAAAAACAAUGGCAGGUUAUAUUUUUUGACAAACCAGGCCGCAGAAAAACCAUGGGAGGUUAUUAUUUUGACAAACCAAGCUUCAGAAAAACCACGUUCACAGUUCGAUUCGUCUCAUAGUUAAAGAUCUGGAGAAAUUCAAUUUAUAUCUGAAGCCGUUCUCCGUUCGUAUAUGUUGUGUCAGCAAUCGCAAAACAAUCUGGACUUCCAGACUUCAGCUCGCUGCAAAACGGAUAAAUGCAUGUCUCGAUUAUCCAAUUAUGAACAACCAUAUCCAAUAAACCAAAAAAAUAAACAAACAACAAUUCUUGAAAAACCAAUCCAUGAAAAAAGAGCCAGGAGAACUGUGACAUUCGUGAUAGAAGCAUAUCAAAAUACAAGUCCAAAAUGAACUCCUUGAUAGAAGCAGCACAAAGACUCCAGAAACAAGAACAUAAUAACUGCAACUCUAACAGAGCACAGAUACAGAUGUAGGCAAAAAAUGACCAGUUUUAUUCAUCCGAAGGCUGAACGGAAAGUAAGCGAACCUCUCUGCAUGCCACACAAUUAUAGGCUUACUCCCCUUGUAACACAGAGAAAACUCAAAGGAUCUGACAAAAGUGGAUGACAGCCUGUAGACAGUAGACAGUAUAUGACAAUGACAGCCUGUAGAAAGAUAAUGAUUCAUUGGAACAAUUUUGCAAGAUCGUCAUGCAACCACAUGAAAGACAAUUUAGCUUUCUACUAAUACAGAGAAGUCCCUACACAACAUAAUGAAGAGGAUAUCUUUUAAGGAGGAUCAUCAUCAUAAUAAAUAAACAAUAUCAAAACAGUAAAAGAAGACUAUAGACAGACUCUCCCAUCAAAGUUAUGUCAUCACCAACAUACCAAAAACACACAAAAACUUGAACACAGAAAGAAACACAAAAUCAUGAACACCAGCUUCUACACAAUUAGGACAACAAUUCAGAAACAAAAACAUAUACGUAUGUAAAAGAUAACCAAUUAUAUCCCAAGGACGAAUGAGAAGGUCUGGGCCAAUCAAAUUCAAGCUUGUGAGAAGAGUCAUGAAGCACGAAAGCAUAAAUAAUGCUCACAUCUAAAUUAGAUCGCCAAAUUAAGCCUCACAGAGAUUGAGAAUUUAACUUGUUAUUCAUGUAAUUAGUUGCAGAAGAUAAAUAGUACAGAGCAGAAGCACUCAUCUCCAAUUUCUCAACUUCAGACAGCAAAAUAAACAAGGUACAGUGUAGUAGAGAAAAGGAGACUACUGUUGAACACUUACCCUGUAACAGCACAAAGUUGUCCAAACCAAGCUGCUAAUCCGCAGAUCAUAGUUACGAAGUAAACCCCACAAAGUUGUCUCAAUUUCUCAGAAUUGUGUAACCACUACUCCGUCACAUUACAUGUGAAAAACAUAAAUGUAAUAAAACAGUAGUUUGAUGGAGUAGUGUAACAGAUAGUUGCAAAAUAAAAGAGAAGAUUAGCAUAAUUCUCCAAACCAAGCCGCUGAACAAAAGAUCAUAGUUACAAGAGAGCCCCUCACAAGCUGUCCCAUUUCUCCAGAAAAAUAUGUAAACUAUCACACUAUCAGAUUACAUGCCAAAUACCUAUAUGUAAGAAAACAGUAGUGAUUGAGAAAGAUACACAAAAACAUGUAACAAUUACCCAGUCCAAAUGACACAAACGGGCAACCCGUGCACUAAAGCUCCUUCAUACGCAGGGUUCGGGAAAGGGUCCCACCAUUAUUGGUGUAUUGUACGCUGCCUUAACCUGUUUUUUACACAAGAGGCUGCUUCCAGGACUUGAACACCAAAUAACACAUGCACAAAAAUAUUACACUGUACCACCUAAUUAUAGAAAAAACCAAGUAAGAGAAACAAGAGUAGUAUUAACCAAGUAGUAUUAAAUAACACAUGCACAAAUGAAGCCACUGAUAAAAAGAUCAUAUUUACAAAAACACAUAAAUAACUUACUUAAUUUCUCCAGAUUUGUGUAAACUCAAUUUACAGGUCAGAAAUCUAAAUGUAAGAUAACAGUAGUAUUAAGCAGUCCGCGAACCGUAAGGUUGAACUUCUCAGUAUAAGGGAGUAAAACAAGACUGAACGAUAAAUUUGAGGAUAAUGAAUACUGAACUCAUCUCUCACCCCACUUAAACAGACUUAUCUCUCGCGUGUAACACCCAAGUGACAUAAAGGAGUAAGUCAAAAUGACAGGAUAGUAGAACUUUACAGAGAAUUAAUGAGAUAAAAACUAUUCACAACCAAGAAGAGUGUAUCAAAAUACACCUGAUUGCUUGGUGCUACACAGAACAGUCUCAAAACACACAGCACUGCAGAAAACAGAAAAUGUUUCAAUUCACAAUUUAGUAUAAUCAUGUAGUUUCACAAAACAUUACUACCAUUAUCUAAAACUCAAUCGGCAACAUCUCAAGAGAAAAUUCACAUAUGAACUCAAGGCUCCAUGCUAUGAAAAAAUAACUUCAAUAAUUACGCCGUAUGCCUCUUCCAUCAUAUCACUUGGCUCUAAAAAGAAGACAGAUAAUGGAAAGGAGGAUGAGGGAGGAUAUAAGAGAAGUGUGAGACAAUGGAUAAUGGUAAAAAUUCAUUAAGUUUAAUGAUAUUUUUGUCAAUUCAAGUGUAAAGACGCCAGCUAAUUAUUUUCCUUUGAUUGUGAAAAAUGUUACAAUUCUUUUGCUAGUUUUAAUUUCAAAGAUACAAAGAUUUAAUUGUAAUAUUUUACACUACACUGUUAAAUGGUGAAUAUUAUCAUUUUUUUUUUAUGAACAAGCGUGAAUAUUAUAUCUAUUGUGAUUUCUGAAUAGAAGUUUUAAUCUAACCUUAAUGAAGUUUUAAUAUCAUUGAGUAAUUUCCAAAUAGAAAAUUAUCAAAGUGAUCUGGUACACAUGCUUAUAUAGAUCAACGGUGUUAAUUAAAAAAUACAUUGAUAAAAUUGUAAUUUUUUACACUACACGUUGUCCUUGCUCGUUAGAAGUUUAAACUUAACCUUACUGAAGGUAUCAGAGUGAUUUCCAAAAAAAAAAAUGAUAAAAGUCAUCUGGUACAAAAUUGAUCAUUAGAACAUCAUAAAAGAUAAUUGAAAAUAACAAAAUUGAUCAUUAGAACAUCAUAAACAUUUGCUUAGUUAUGUCCCUAACACCAUGUUCAAUUUCUACUCUAGUUAACACUGGCAGGUCAAACAACAAAGAGAUAACUUUCAAAAUACAUUAAGCAUUCCUAAGCUAGAAGCAGGCCUGCUUUGUGAACUAAGGAGGAACAAUAAACUCUGCACACUUGGUAUAUUCCAUUAUUGUGGUUGUUCUUAACAAAAAGAAUGCAGGACACGCCAUUAGAAGUAAGAAAUAGCUGGUCUAUCUAUAUUUGCAAUGAACGGGAUAAAAUACAAAGAACCAAUCCAAGCAGAAAGCACAAAGUAUGUAUAACCAAGUAGAAAUCACCUUGAAGCCCGGUGCACUCAGAAAUAUCAACUUAGGAGAACCGAUUUAUUCUUAUGCACAUCGUCAAAUGAUAAACAGUAUAGAAAAGCUCCCCAGAUAAAGACCGCCAUCAGGACAAUCCACCCAAGCUGUCCAAAACAGACUACAGGCAGGCCAAACCAUAAGAGAAUAACUACUCCACCAACAAAGAUACAAAUUUGGGACAGAAGAUUCUUAUAAAACUACAAAAGAUGGCAGACUACCAGAGUAUAACACCAAACCAAGCUGUCCAGAAUUUCAUAUCCUCGUUGCGGACAAAAUCAUAUACUCUAGAAUCUUGUAUGCUUCAGUAUUCAUUCUCCUGAUGCGAAAACACAUAUCCAGCACUAGCAUUAGACAUAUCAAAGGAAAAAUAUCCCUAAUGAUGUAACAUAAACAAACACACGGAUAUGUAAAAAAUUACUGAUCAUAUCACACGGCCGGUUUCCACAGGUCACGGCACACCAUACAUUCAUAGUCGGUCUCCCUUGUAACGCCCUCAAUAUCAAUAGAAAUAUUGAAAAUAAAAAUAGAUUCACAAUCCAAUCUGCAUGUCAUAAGAACAAAUCCCAAAUCUUAGUAAUUUUGAUAUAUCUGGACUCGAGUAUUUCCAAACAUUUUAGAUAUCCAAGCUGACAGAAUCAUAAAUAUUGCCGAAGCUCUCCUAAUAUCUAGAUUCAUAUUUCUAAACAUUGGCACAUCACAAUGUCAAAGGACACCUAUUCCAGAACAAGUACAUUCAAGGCAAGAAAAUGACCAGUGAAAUCCAAGGGUCUGCAUGUUCGUAAUAUUAAGGUUAGCUGCAGCUUUAAAAUCACAGUACAGCAUCUCCCCUGUAACACGAGCUAAGAAAAUUUCACAACAAAAAACCCCAUUUACAGACACAGGGAGUCGGGGUAGGAAUGAGAAAACUAAAUCCACAAAAAGACAAGGAAAACGUGAAGAAGAAAUCUAACUGUCAAAGUAGAAAUAACGAAAUGAAAGCUUAACAACGGCAGCCAAUUGCAGAUUCUGGUGCUCCAUUAAGCUCCCCCCUAAACCAAGUCCUUGCUCCAAUUGCAGAAUCUGUGAGGCAUAACCUUUUUGGAGAGAAGAUUCUUAUCCUCAUGUAUAUAUACCACAAACCGCAGGAAAAUAGAAAACGAAUUAUGAUAGAGGAAGAGACAAAUCAACAAUUAAAGUGCCAAACCAGUCCAGAAUUCUUAUAUGCUUCAUACUCUCAUGAGACAGAACCACAAAAACUCAGACACUUGCAAGAAACCAUCAGAGGACCUGCUAUCCCAAAUCCCAAUAUAAAAACACGGCUAGAAAAUUACCAGUUUUAUCUCAAGGCUGAACAGAACCUUGCUUCGUGCACAUUUAUAGGAUUUUCCUCUAACACUCACAGAAAACUCAAAAAGUAGAUGCUGAUUAUCAAACUAUAGGGAGUAUAUGAAACAGCCUGCAGAGGACGUUGAAUCAGGGUGUGCAAAAAUAAACCUGUACACUUUAAUAAUACACAGACUGGUUAUUUUAAGAUAUAUUAUGCUCCAGAAAACAGGUUUUAAUUCACAAUCCACCAGAAAUGAAUAUCAUGUAUGGAGCUCUGCAAAACAUCACCGUUUUAUGAAACUCAACUGGCAACAUCCAAAACAGAAAAUUCAUAGCAGAACUCCAGUCAUCUUUCCAAGUUCAGCAAAACAUUACUAUUUCCUAUUACUCAAAUAGCAAUACCAUAAAUGCAAAACAACAUCUGUCUACCAAGAAUAAUGUUAGUUGUAACAGGAAUUCAAGAACAAUCAAAAUUGGACUGCAAAAGUUAAAGAUAACGAAUAAUUAAUCACAAAGAAUAAGAAUACUUCACAUGAGGAUCAAACAAGAGAAUGUCACAGAUUAUUGCUCCUGCAACACCAGAGAGCAACGAAUCAAGAAAUAUUCAUACUCUCAGCAACACCAAAAAGUAACCAAUCAAGAAAUAUUCAUACUCUUAGCAGUGAAAGAAAUAUCAUAAAAAAACAGAUUAUGAUAAUAUCACCAUAUAAAAACCCUAUGAUGCGAAGAAAGUUAUUAGAUUUGACAGACCGUGCUGCAGAAAAACAUGUUCAAAAUUCAAUUUGUUCAUAGCCCAGAAAUCAAGUUAAUAAAGGACUCAUUAUCAUUUAUCUUUCAAACACCGUUCCCCCGUUCCUGUCCGUUGAAUCAAGUGUUAUAGAUAUCAAGACUUCCCUGCUCGCAGUACAACGGAUAAACGGAUCUUCUUCUUUUUUUUUUUUUUUUUUUUGAAGUGAAACAUACUUUCAAAAAAACAAAGCUGGAACACAGCCAUCAAACCCACAAUGAUUAUUUCGAUUAUCAACGGAUCUUCAAUUAUCAAAUGAAGAGUUAAAUUGAAAAAUAACACAAAGAUUGAAUAGAUGAAUUUUCUAGAGAUCACCGGGAAAAUACUCAAGGCUCCAUACUACGAAGGAGGUUAUUAUUUAGACAAACCAGGAUGCAGAAAAAGCAUGUUCGCAGUUCAUUUAUUUCGACAAACCACGCUGCAGAAAAGCAUUUUCAAAAUCAAUUUGUAUGUCUUGUAAUCAAAGUCAGAUUAUAAACAAUAAAAAUGGCUCAUUGAAGAAAUUUGAUUUAUCUUGAACCAUUCCCCGUACUUAUAUCUUUGAACCAAGAAUAUGUUGACCUCAGCUGCAAAAUCAAUAAAGAUUUAAACAAAAAGGAUUCACUAUCUUUCAUAUUUAUGAACCAAGGAGAAAAGGUUCUAUGCUAUGUAGGAGGUUAAUUUUUGACAAAACCAAGCUGAAAAAGGAAGUCAUUGAUGUCUUGCAUUAAAAUUAAUAAACAAUAAUCACCAAAAUCAAAACCUCAUAAACAUGAAANAAACAAUGAUCACCAAAAUCAAAACCUCAUAAACAUGAAACCAGAAAGGAAAAAGAAUACAAAACAUGAAGAUCAAAUAAGAGCAAGAAAGAAAGAACCAGAAGAAAUCGUGUUUUCAUAGAUAUUUCUCCUGAAACACCAAAAAGAUCACCAAAUCAAAAAAUCAACUGAAACUGAUUUAAUAAUACAUAAAAAACAAUGAAGAAAUUUUGAAAACAAAAAUAAUUUAACAGACAUCACCAAAUCAAAUCCAUGCUUAGUUUGCAAACUACCCACCACGCUGCAGAAUAAUUAAGAAUAUGUUCAAUAUUCAAAUUGUAUGCUUUCCAAUCAAAUUAAAAUAAUUAAUUAUCAACUAAAGAAAUUUGAUUUAUCUAACUGGAGCCUUUCUUGUACCUUGUAUCAAGAGGUUUCACUGCAAAACCGAUAAAUGAUCUCUCGAUUAUCAAAAUGAAUAAUUAAUUAUAUAAAAAAUUUAAGAAUUUUAAGAAAUUUUUAUGUAAAAGAAGAGUCGAGAGAAGUGUGAUUGUGUGAAAAUGUUGGAAAGUAUAUCUUAACAAUCACUGAAAUUAAGUAAUCACAGAUCAAAGAAACAAGAAAGUAAAACACCAAAUCAAGCAUUCUCUGAAUUGACAUAGAAAGAUAGAACCAAAAAGAUUUACUAGAUAUCACCAAAUCAAAUCUAGAGGCUCCAUGCUAUGAAUAAAGAACAUUUUUAAUACUCUGACAAACCACGCUGCAGAAAUGGAUAAAGGACUCAUUGAAGAAAAAUAAUUAUCUAUCAAGAGCAGUACAACGGAUAAAUGGAUCUUCGAUUAUCAAAGAAGAGUUAUAUCGAAAAAUAAUACUCAUUAACUAAUCGUAAAAGAAGAUUCAAGAAAAGUACGAGAGUGUGAAAUAUAUCCUCUCAGAAGCAUUGAACGGAAAAUUUACUAGAUAGAGAUCACCAGAAAAUUCUCAAGCCUCCAUACUCAGGAGGUUAAUAAUUAGACAAACCAAGCUGCAGAAAAAGCAAGAUCACGGUUCAAUUCUUCUCAUAAUCUAAAACUUGAAAUUAAAAACAAUAAAGAAUGAAUCAUUGAAGAAAUUCGAUUUAUCUAUUUGAAGCCAAUCUCCAUUCAUAUCCGUUGUGUAAAGAAUCACAAAAUGUUUAUAGUUUUUCCGGAUUCCGCCACCUGCUGCAAAUUAAACAUAUAUCUCCAUUAUCUACUUAUGAUAGAAGAAGAUCAAAAGACCCAAGCGAAAAGAUAAACUGCAGACUCCUGAUACAACAUUAUAAAAACUGCAACACUAUCCCAUCACACCAUCAGAGCACAACUAUCCCAUCACACCAUCAGAGCACAACUAUCCCAUCCCAACACAAAAUGAAACCAGUUUUAUUACCAAGGUUGAGUGAAAAGUAGGAUGUAUGACCAGCUUUAUUCCAAGUCUGAACGGAAGUAAUAAACCUAAAUGACAGAUUACAUCAAAGCAGUCACAAUUUCUCCAGAAUUGUGUAAACUAUCACGGUCAGAAUACAUCAAAAACCUGAAUGUAAGGAAAUCAGAGUAAGGCUGAACUUCUAAGAUAUAAACAAGAGGAAGAUCGAUAGAACCAGAAUAUGUUUAAAAAAGAUCACACUUCUCCUGCGACACGGAAGAAUAAACAACAAAUAAAGAUAUAUAUAUGUUGAUAAAAGAAAUUUUUAAAAUGAAAAGAAUUAAAUAGUUAUCACCAAAUCAAAAUGCUAGGUUCCAUGCCACGAAGCAGGUUAUUAGUGUGACAAACCAUGCUGCAGGAAAACAUGUUCAAAAUUCAAUUCGUAUGUCUUGCAAUUGAAGCCCAGAAAUUAAAAUAAUAAACAAUGGCUCAAUGAAGAAAUUUGAUUUUUAUCUAUCGGGGCUGUUGUUCUUUUCCGGUGUAUGAAACGUUCUAGAUAAUGAAGAUUUCACAGACUGCAAAAGAUGGAUAAAUGCAUGUCACAGAGCAAACAAUAUGGCCACCUAGUUAAAAAAUCAAGUAACAAAAGAAGGUAUGAACAAGAAUAAACAAACAAACCUCAUAAUCAAGAAAUCAAAAGCAUAUCUUCUCAUGUAACACCAUCAAGAAAUCAAAAUCAUAUCCUCUUAAUACCAGGAAGUAAAUUAACAAUUUAACAUUCAAGAAACAUUUGUUCUUAGAAUCAACAAUGUAAGAUUGAAACAAAAAGGAUUUACUAGAUAUCACCAAAUCAAAACUUCAGGCUCUAUGCUGUGAAGGAUAUUAUUAUUUUGACAAACCAAACUGCAGUCUAAACCAACAAAAACAAAUAAUCAACCAGACAAAUCAUGAAACCGAAAGAAUCAAUCAAAAAUGAAUAAAGAAUGCAAAACAUGAAGACCAAACAAGAGGAAGAUACAUAUCACUAGAAGAAGUCGUAUGUUACAAAAUUACUUUUCCUGCAAGACCAAAGAGGGUAAAAACAGGUCAAGAAAUACAUGAUCUCAGAGAAUAAAGAAUUUUAAAAAAUGAAAAGAAUUUAUUACAGAUCACCAAAUCAAAACGCUAGGCUCCAUGCAUCAAGCAGGUAAUAGUUUAACAAACCACGCUGCAAGAAAACAUGUUGAAAAUUCAAUUUGCAUGUCUUGCAGUAAAAACCCAGAAAUUAAAGUAAUAAAGAACAAAUCAUUGAAUAAAUUGAUUUAUCUAUCUGGAGCCAUUCCGUAUGUUGUAUCAAGCC
rnacentral:lncRNA from 1 species